GGACUACGGGGGUAUCUAAUCCGGUUUGCUCCCCCAGCUUUCGUCCCUCACUGUCGGACCCGUUCUGGUGAGAUGCCUUCGCCAUAGGUGGUCCCACCGGGAUUACAGGAUUUCACUCCUACCCCGGCAGUACCUCUCACCUCUCCCGGUCCCUAGAAAACCAGUUUCCCCUGAACGCCCGCCAGUUAAGCUGGCGGAUUUCUCAAGGGACCCAAUUAUCAAGCUACGGACCCUUUAAGCCCAGUAAUAGCGGCCACCACUCGAGCCGCCGGUAUUACCGCGGCGGCUGGCACCGGUCUUGCCCGGCCCUUUCUUCACCAGUUAUUUACACUGAUGGACAGCCAGCCUGUGCUGGCACUCGGGGUUUCCUUAUCACGGUUGCCCGCAUGGUAAAGUUUUCGCGCCUGCUGCCCCCCAUAGG
rnacentral:rRNA from 1 species